AUUGAACGCUGGCGGCAUGCCUAACACAUGCAAGUCGAGCGGUGCUGCGGACGGGCGGGUAAUUCCUAGGAAUCUGCCUGGCCUUGAGGGAUGACGUCCGGUAGGGGGCGCUAAUCCCGCAUCCUACCAGCUGAGCCUAGGUUGGAUUAGCUAGUUGGUGGGGUAAGGGCCUACAAAGGCGACGAUCCGUAACUGCGCUGCGAGGAUGAUCAGUCACACUGGAACUGAGACACGGUCCAGACUCCUACGGGAGGCAGCAGUGGGGAAUAUUGGACAAUGGGCGAAAGCCUGAUGCAGCCAUGCCGCGUGUGUGAAGAAGGUCUUCGGAUUGUAAAGCACUUUAAGUUGGGAGGCGUUACCAACAGAAUAAGCACCGGCUAACUUCGUGCCAGCAGCCGCGGUAAUAC
rnacentral:rRNA from 1 species